rnacentral:rRNA from 1 species
GCAGCCGCGGUAAUACGGGGGAUGCAAGCGUUAUCCGGAUUUAUUGGGUUUAAAGGGUGCGUAGGCGGUCUGUUAAGUCAGCGGUGAAAUUUAGGGGCUCAACCUCUACCGUGCCGUUGAUACUGGCAGUCUGGAAUGCGGAUGCCGUGGGAGGAAUGUGUGGUGUAGCGGUGAAAUGCAUAGAUAUCACACAGAACACCGAUUGCGAAGGCAUCUCACGAAUCCGCAAUUGACGCUGAGGCACGAAAGCGUGGGGAUCAAACAGGAUUAGAUACCCC